rnacentral:rRNA from 1 species
GACGAACGCUGGCGGCGUGCCUAAUACAUGCAAGUAGAACGCACAGUUUAUACCGUAGCUUGCUACACCAUAAACUGUGAGUUGCGAACGGGUGAGUAACGCGUAGGUAACCUGCCUGGUAGCGGGGGAUAACUAUUGGAAACGAUAGCUAAUACCGCAUAAUAUUGAUUAUUGCAUGAUAAUUGAUUGAACGAUGCUAUUGCAUCACUACCAGAUGGACCUGCGUUGUAUUAGCUAGUAGGUGAGGUAACGGCUCACCUAGGCGACGAUACAUAGCCGACCUGAGAGGGUGAUCGGCCACACUGGGACUGAGACACGGCCAAGACUCCUACGGGAGGCAGCAGUAGGGAAUCUUCGGCAAUGGACGAAAGUCUGACCGAGCAACGCCGCGGGAGUGAAGAAGGUUUUCGGAUCGUAAAGCUCUGUUGUAAGAGAAGAACGGGUGUGAGAGUGGAAAGUUCACACUGUGACGGUAUCUUACCAGAAAGGGACGGCUAACUACGUG